UCUUAUCGAGAGCGGCGGAGGGAUAGGCCCGAUGAAGCCCGGCAACCGAUUUGUAUCCAGUAAAGAAACUGUACUGAGUACAAGUGUCAUGGUGCUAAUUCCUACAAUGGCGCGGGUAAACGCCGUUGGCAGAUGAG
rnacentral:ncRNA from 1 species